rnacentral:rRNA from 1 species
UACGGAGGGAGCUAGCGUUGUUCGGAAUUACUGGGCGUAAAGCGUGCGUAGGCGGUUAUUCAAGUCAGAGGUGAAAGCCCGGGGCUCAACCCCGGAACUGCCUUUGAAACUAGAUAGCUAGAAUCUUGGAGAGGUCAGUGGAAUUCCGAGUGUAGAGGUGAAAUUCGUAGAUAUUCGGAAGAACACCAGUGCGAAGGCGACUGACUGGACAAGUAUUGACGCUGAGGCACGAAAGCGUGGGGAGCAAACAGGG